GACGAACGCUGGCGGCGUGCUUAACACAUGCAAGUCGAACGGAAAGGCCCUGCUUUUGUGGGGUGCUCGAGUGGCGAACGGGUGAGUAACACGUGAGUAACCUGCCCUUGACUUUGGGAUAACUUCAGGAAACUGGGGCUAAUGCCGUAUAGGAUCUCCUGCUGCAUGGUGGGGGUUGGAAAGUUUCGGCGGUUGGGGAUGGACUCGCGGCUUAUCAGCUUGUUGGUGGGGUAGUGGCUUACCAAGGCUUUGACGGGUAGCCGGCCUGAGAGGGUGACCGGCCACAUUGGGACUGAGAUACGGACCAGACUCCUACGGGAGGCAGCAGUGGGGAAUAUUGCACAAUGGGCGGAAGCCUGAUGCAGCAACGCCGCGUGCGGGAUGACGGCCUUCGGGUUGUAAACCGCUUCCGCCUGUGACGAAGCGUGAGUGACGGUAAUGGGUAAAGAAGCACCGGCUAACUACGUG
rnacentral:rRNA from 1 species